rnacentral:rRNA from 1 species
GUACCUACGGGGGGCAGCAGUGGGGGAUAUUGCACAAUGGGGGGAACCCUGAUGCAGCGACGCCGCGUGGGUGAAGAAGCGCCCCGGCGCGUAAAGCCCUGUCAGCAGGGAAGAAGAAGGACGGUACCUGACCAAGAAGCCCCGGCUAACUACGUGCCAGCAGCUGCGGUAAUACGUAGGAUGCGAGCGUUAUCCGGAAUUACUGGGUGUAAAGGGAGCGCAGGCGGGACUGCAAGUUGGAUGUGAAAUACCGCAGCUUAACUGCGGAGCUGCAUCCAAAACUGUAGUUCUUGAGUGGAGUAGAG